CACUUAGGAGACAGGAAGGCACCUUGUUUAACCUCUCUGUGAGAGCUGGUGCAGGCAGCUUCCAGAGACUUAGAUAUCUCUACAGCCACACUUGUGGCUUUAGAGUCCUAGUGUGAGGGAAGUAUUUCAGUUAUUGAAGCCCCAGCUGAUUUGUUUUCCUGGUCUCCCUUUCAGCCACCAGGCCUUCCCUGUUACAGCCACUUCCCUUGGGACCGAGGAUUGAGCCAGGCCUCUAGAAGACCCACGGCGUGGCCAGUGGCCAGUCUUGGACUUUGUGCUUGCUCUUGUCCAAUUCCUUUACUUCGGGGCCAAAGAAACGACAUCCCUGAGCAGGCAGAGAGUCCUCAUGUCCUCACUGGCACUGUGAUCUAGAACUACUGGAUUCUUACAAUCUGAUAGGUGGAAAAGCAAGUCUCCAGGUAGUUUUCAUUUGCAUUUAUCUCAUUUUGGGUACAUCUUUUCCUAACAAAAGAAUCUGUUAAGGUGUCCUUUUUCAUUAUAUCUGCAGAUAUCUUUAUAUCUGGCUGCUGGUUCUUUCAUAUCUUAGGAAGAUUAUCCCUGUGUCUGUCAACUGAAUUGAAAAUCAUUUCCCUCAGUUUGUCACUUGUCUUGACACCUUACUCAGGAUUUGUAGAAUUUAUUUUCCCUGGUGUCUUAGUCACUGUUCUAUUGCUGUGAAGAGACACCAUGAUCAAGCCAACUCUUAUAAAAGAAAGCAUUUAAUAGGGGGCUUAUUUAUAGUUUCUGUAGCUUAGUUUAGUCCAUUAUCAUCAUGGCAGCACACAUGCCUAUAGAGUAGUAGCUGAGAGCUACAUCUUUAUUCGCAGGCCAAGAGAGAAAGCAACUAAGUCUGACAUGUUCUUUUGAAAACCUCAAAGCCCACCCCUGGUGACACCCUUCCUCCCACAAGGCCACACCUGCAUCAACAAGGCCACUUCUCUUAGUCCUUUCAAAUAGUUUCACUCCCUCAUGACUCAGCAUUCAAAUGUAUGAGCUUAUGGGGGCCAUUCCCAUUCAAACUGUCCCUAGUUUACAUUUCUUAAUUUGCUCCUUUAUAAUUUCGGG
rnacentral:lncRNA from 1 species